rnacentral:lncRNA from 10 species
GGUCACUCCAGGGUCUUCCUUCAAAGCGUGUCUAAUGGGAGACAGCGUUGUCCCAGUAACCAAAUUGGGACCAGAGUCCCAGGGAAGGGCUCAUCAGGUGGCCGCUCUGCCUUGAAGAGUGGUACCCUCAGGCCCUUUUCCAGCCAGGGGUCAGGGAGAGAGCUGGAGGGCUCGGGGAGGCAGGGACUGGGAGGGAGAGUGGGGAGAGGAGCGCUGGGGGCUGCAGGAGGGUCUCUGGGCAGCUGGCGGGUGUCUCGUUCCGCAACACUCUGCACCCUGGUACAUCGUCCUCCGUCCACUCAACGUGGAAUGAUUCUCUUCCCUCUGGAUCCAGCCCCUCUAGUUCCCUUUUCACUUUGAGGCAUUUGCCCCCUGUGAAUCAGUUCCCUGCUACUCCAGAAAAUUUCUCUCAUACCCCAGGCCCCUCUGUUCUUUUAAAUGGCACCCUUCACCCCCAGCCCUUCAUCUUCUGCACUGUAUUUUCACUUGUUGAUUUAAAAAUCCCUUUAUUAUGGGAAAUUGCAAACAACACAAAAGUAGAGAAAAUAGUACGUAUUUUUACUGUUUACUCAAUUUUCAUCUUGCCAUUACCCGGACACGGUUGCCGUCAAACCCUGGCCCCUCUUGUUUCAUCUAAACCCUAAACUGUCCCUCUACUCCCACUGCCCAACCCCUACCCCUGGACUAUUUCGAAGCAAAUUUCAGACACCAUCCUGUUUCCUCUGAGCAUUUUUUAGUUUGUAUCUCUAAAUAAGAAGCUUUUGUUUCUUAAAAAUAAAACCACAACACCAUUAUCACAAGUUAAAAAAUUAAUAGCCUUUCCUUAAUAUCAUCCACCAUCUAUGUAGCAUUCCAAUAUUCUUGAUUGACUCAUAAAUUUCUUUUACAGUUGGCUUGGUCAAGUCAGUGUUCAAACUAUCUCCUGCUCUUUCAAGGGGAUCUGGGGCUCUAGAAGAUUAGAGGACUUGGAGAGGUUAGUGACUUGCUCGAGGUCGGCUAGGAAGCAAGACCCAGGAUUCCAACUCAGGUCUGUGUGAUUCCUCUGCAAAAUGGAGAGGUGGAAGGAUGGAUGUCAGGUCUGAUGGAUGGAUGGAUGCCUACAUCAAGAUACAUGCAUAGAUGGAGAGAUGGCUGGCUACCUCAUGAAUGCUGGACUGUUGUGAGAAUCAAACGAGAUAAUGUAUGCUGAGGCAUGCUGUGAACACUACGUGCUGGGUACAGGAGAAUGGAGGCUCCAGAGUGAAAUUAAUGACACUUUGUCGAUGAAGAUCUUGAUUGUGACCUCUGUGGAAAAUGAGCCAUGAACCAACCAAU